rnacentral:rRNA from 1 species
AGAGUUUGAUCCUGGCUCAGGAUGAACGCUAGCGGCAGGCCUAAUACAUGCAAGUCGAACGGGUAGCAAUACUAGUGGCAAACGGGUGCGUAACGCGUAAGCAACCUGCCUCAAACUGGGGGAUAGCCCGGCGAAAGCUGGGGUAACCCCGCAUGGUCCCUUUCGGUCACCUGGCUGGAAGGGUAAACAUUUAUGGGUAUGAGAGGGGCUUGCGUCUGAUUAGUUAGUUGGCAGGGUAACGGCCUACCAAGACGAUGAUCAGUAGGGGUUCUGAGAGGAUUGGCCCCCACAUGGGUACUGAGAUACGGACCCAACUCCUACGGGAGGCAGCAGUAGGGAAUAUUGGGCAAUGGGCGCAAGCCUGACCCAGCCAUGCCGCGUGCAGGAUGAAGGCGCUCAGCGUUGUAAACUGCUUUUAUCGGUGAAGAACUCUAUUUCUGCGGAAGUAGUUGACGGUAGCCGAGGAAUAAGCACCGGCUAACUCCGUGCCAGCAGCCGCGGUAAUACGGAGGGUGCAAGCGUUGUCCGGAUUUAUUGGGUUUAAAGGGUGCGUAGGUGGGCUGAUAAGUCUGGUUUGAAAGCUGGUGGCUUAACCAUCAGAUGUGGCUGGAAACUGUUGGUCUUGAAUGGGUUGGCGGAAGCCGGAACGGGUCAUGUAGCGGUGAAAUGCAUAGAUAUGACAUAGAACACCGAUUGCGAAGGCAGCUAACUACGCAUAUAUUGACGCUGAGGCACGAAAGCGUGGGGAUCAAACAGGAUUAGAUACCCUGGUAGUCCACGCCCUAAACGAUGAUUACUCGACAUACGCGAUACACUGUGUGUGUCUGAGCGAAAGCAUUAAGUAAUCCACCUGGGAAGUACGUUCGCAGAU